UACGUAGGUGGCAAGCGUUGUUCGGAAUUAUUGGGCGUAAAGGGCGCGUAGGCGGUUUGUUAAGUCAGUUGUGAAAGCCCGGGGCUCAACCCCGGAGAGUCGACUGAUACUGGCAGACUAGAGUACGGAAGAGGAGAGUGGAAUUCCUGGUGUAGCGGUGAAAUGCGCAGAUAUCAGGAAGAACACCCGUGGCGAAGGCGGCUCUCUGGGACGGUACUGACGCUGAGACGCGAAAGCGUGGGGAGCGAACAGG
rnacentral:rRNA from 1 species